AGUUAUCUGUGAAAGUGACUAACAUUAAAUCAUUAGCAGGCCUAUGUAUCGAGAAUUGGAAAUUCCCAACUAUUUGAUGAUGUCAGUACACACAAGCCUUGAAGCAAGAGAGCGCUGCGAUGCAUCAUGACAUUGCGACAUUGCCUUAUGAUAUCAAGAGGGGGCUAAUUUAUUUCCCUCGACUGUUUCCAAAGCGUUUUAAAGAAAACUUGAGGAAUAUCUAAAUCUCGUGUCGUCAUUAGCAAGGAAAGUCUGUCUUCCACGCCAAUCUUGGGUCGGGAGUUCUACUACUCUGCACAAGUUGAAGUUUAAAAUCGGCAGGCAUAUUGUGACGCUGCGGUUGUUCAACACAAGACCACGUCCAUUUCACUGGAGAAGCUAUGAUUACAGACGUCUUGAAGAUGUUUUUUAUCGGGACAGCGUUCACUGUCCUCGCCGCGCUGAUGGGAAUGGUGGAUUCAUUUGGUGGUCUCAUGUAUGUCCAAGACGCGGAUCCUGCAGAGUAUUUACAGUUGGACAGCAGUACUGACAUACGGAUGUCUUCAACCCAUUCGAGAGGUUCAGGGAGUACCAAACGCAUUGGACCAUGAUGAGGACAUCAUGUGGAGUAGAAUUAACACGAACAGGCUUGGUUUAUGUUAUGUUUUCGUUUGUAAAUGACUGCUUGCACUGUACAAUGUGUACACUGAUUUUUACAAAACAUUAUUGAGCCUUUCAUCAUGGUUCGCUUUCAGUUUCACUGGUUGGUGUCCCACUCCCAUUGGGCAGAAACUGGCUGAAUCAGCGCAGGUUUCACGUCAUUUCAACCCCCGCAAAAUCUAUGUGAUGACGUUGAAUGAGCGUGGAUUGGAUUUGUAAAAAGUCAUUAACGUAUGGGCGGGCACUCUGUCGCUUUUUUUACCUGAAUCCAAUGCUAUGGUUAUAUUUUUUGUUGUUGAAUUGUGCAAUUUAGAACUAGACGUCGAACUGACGUCUGUGCGCAGUGGGGUUUGAUUUAUACAGGUCACUCCGGAUUUAAUGAGUUGUUUAAUCUGUUUUGCACAUUUGAAGAACACCCUAGUUGAUGUUUAUAGAAGGCUAUUACUAAAGUAUUAGGUCAUAUUGACAGCUAUUACUAUGUAGUUAUAUCCACUCUAUACUAAUACUUGGUAGGGCAGCAGGUAGAGCGUUGGGGCAGUAACUGAAAGAUCGCAGGUUUGAAUCCCCGAGCUGACUAGGGGAGAAAUCUGUCUGUGCACUUGAGCAAGUUACUUAAUUUAGCAAACGCUAAAUCGCUCUGGAUGGGAGCGUCUGCUAAAUGACAAAAAUGUACUAAUCUGUAUACAUGGCAUUACCUAUAGCAUGUAGGCUAUUUGUUGUAUAUUGAAGAUCACAUCAUGUGUAAAAGAAAAAGGGCUACAUUAUGCACUAAUUGACUCUUCAUCAUGCGCUGUAAUAUUGUGUCAUAAACAAAGUUGUAAAGAAUAAACACUUUUAUAGGCUAUUGUCAAUAAAAGGAAUAGACACUA